GAGAGGAAGACCUCAGUAGAUGGGCUGAAGAUGAUGGCCAUAUCUGUAGUGAGGAGCCACGGUACUCAUAGAAGAGCCACAACAGCAUUUGGUUUAUAGCCUGAGUCUGGACGAGAAAGAAAAGUUUGGGCUGUUGUGCCAAGUAAGUCAAUGCGGUUUUACAACCAUACAAGAAUAUUUUAGAUAAGUAGUGGCAAAAGUUAGCAGUAGGCCACUCUUUCAAAACUUUUAAAAAAAAAAGGACUUUCCCCUUUCAGUUUUCUUUGGUUUUCUGGGUUUAAUCAUUUCCAGAUAAUAAGCUUAAAUUGAUGCUGUGUGGAUGAAGUAGCUUCUAUAUGUAUGAUAUAUCUGCAUAAGCACAUGGUAGGUACUGUAGCUUUUCUUCUGUUGCAGCUUUUCAUUCACCUUUGCUGAUAGACAUUCCUGAAAUGGUGCAGCUAUAUUGUGGGUCCAUUGGUUGUUUUAUGUGAUUUUAUUCUUUCUAUUGAUUUCAACUUUAGAGAAAAUCAUUUUCAUUACUCUUCAAAAAAUUUUAAAAGCAUGAAAUUCAUGGUUUCAUUUUUUUUUUUAAAUUUUAUUUUUUCAUUUUCUAAACUCAGUUUUUGAAAAAAUAAAAAUGAAAAAACACAGUACAAGUUAACUUUUAUUUAUGGUUAUUAAUUACUAAACUUCGGUUUCAGGAUCCGAGCUAAGUCCUGUAAAUGCUGGCAUAAGCUGCAACCAGAGAUGCUACAUAUAAUUCCCCAUUACGCUCUUGAACUUCACUGAUCGCACUGAUUUGAUAUGCCCCAACGAGAGGAGCUACUUCUAAAACCCUGCCAUCAUUGCUGAGUCUUAGCCCUAGAGGCAUCACAAGUGAUUCUGGAGGUGCCGGUGGUCCUAAUGCAUUGUUUAUUGCCACCCAGAACUCUCCCCUUUCGUUCCUCUUAAUGUUACUUGGUUUUCCCAGGAGUUCCAUGAAAACUUCUGAAGUAUUAGCUUUCGGACCUCCAAGCCAAAACCUACGGAUUCUGUUUGCAGUUAACUCAGCAACAAGCACAAACAUACCAUCUCUGCUUACUGCCACCCCAACUGCCACAGAAAGGCCCCCGAGCAAUACUCUCACCUCCCUGCUCUGCGGAUCAUACCUAAAUAGGCUUCCUGUACUGUCAUUGCUUGCAAUUAGUUCCUGCAUAUCCCUGCAAUUAAUAUAUGUGACAAUUUUAAGAGGGGUGAUGGUAACCAAAAAAAAAAAAGAGGACCUUUUUUGUUUCUUCUGUUCAUUUUCUUGAGGAUACCUUAACUGGAAUCGAGUGCUAGCUUCUGUAAAAUAGACCAUUCCAUUUCCUUGGUCCACGUCCAGACCUGCUAGAAACCGAAAGGGGAUGCCUUCUGCAGCAGCAGCAAGUUGGGUAGCAAUCCCUCCACUGGAACCCACCACCAUGAGUCCCAAAUAAGCAUCAACCAUGUAGAGAUCGCCUGUGUGAUAGUUGAAACCCAAGCCUAAUGGCCUCCCACAGGUGGCUUCCAAUGCUGGAUCAAUUGAGCCAUCACACAUUUCCUCGGUCCUGAAUUAUAAGUAAAAUAAUAUUAUUUUCGAUCAGGAUGAGAAAUAAUUUCAAGCAUGCAUGCAUGCAUGUCUGUGGUAUAGAUUUGUAGUGAUGAACAAACAAGCAAACUUGAUUUAACUUGUUCUCGCAGUAAUCUCUUGGGAAGUAUCUGCUAUUGUCCAUGAAAAUUAUCAUUCUUAAUAGUCUAGUGUAGAGUAUCACUGCUUGUCUUGCGGUAUUAUGGUUCAUGUGGAAUAUAGUUCAUCUUAUAAUAUACGCAUGAACUAAAUUUUUGAUAUUUUGAAGAAACAAUAAGAAUUUGACUUCUGUCCUCAACAGGAAAACAUGCACAUGAGCGCAUAUGGUGAAGUUGAAGACAGCAUGCGGAACUGGCUCUCUCCCUGAUAAAAGGGUACCUAUUUGGUGAAGUGACGGCAAAAUCUGUGAAACCAACAGCAGGCCCCUGAUAUUUGAGGACUCUAC
rnacentral:lncRNA from 1 species